UACGAAGGGGGCUAGCGUUGCUCGGAAUCACUGGGCGUAAAGCGCACGUAGGCGGAUUGUUAAGUCAGGGGUGAAAUCCUGGAGCUCAACUCCAGAACUGCCUUUGAUACUGGCGAUCUUGAGUCCGGGAGAGGUGAGUGGAACUGCGAGUGUAGAGGUGAAAUUCGUAGAUAUUCGCAAGAACACCAGUGGCGAAGGCGGCUCACUGGCCCGGUACUGACGCUGAUGUGCGAAAGCGUGGGGAGCAAACAGG
rnacentral:rRNA from 1 species